rnacentral:rRNA from 1 species
UACGUAGGGCGCAAGCGUUGUCCGGAAUUAUUGGGCGUAAAGAGCUCGUAGGCGGUUUGUCGCGUCGGGAGUGAAAACCUCGGGCUUAACUCGGGGCUUGCUUUCGAUACGGGCAGACUAGAGGUAUGCAGGGGAGAACGGAAUUCCUGGUGUAGCGGUGAAAUGCGCAGAUAUCAGGAGGAACACCGGUGGCGAAGGCGGUUCUCUGGGCAUGAUCUGACGCUGAGGAGCGAAAGUGUGGGGAGCGAACAGG